AAUGCCUAGGAAUCUGCCUAGUAGUGGGGGAUAACGUCCGGAAACGGGCGCUAAUACCGCAUACGUCCUACGGGAGAAAGUGGGGGAUCUUCGGACCUCACGCUAUUAGAUGAGCCUAGGUCGGAUUAGCUAGUUGGUGAGGUAAUGGCUCACCAAGGCGACGAUCCGUAACUGGUCUGAGAGGAUGAUCAGUCACACUGGAACUGAGACACGGUCCAGACUCCUACGGGAGGCAGCAGUGGGGAAUAUUGGACAAUGGGCGAAAGCCUGAUCCAGCCAUGCCGCGUGUGUGAAGAAGGUCUUCGGAUUGUAAAGCACUUUAAGUUGGGAGGAAGGGCAGUUACCUAAUACGUGAUUGUUUUGACGUUACCGACAGAAUAAGCACCGGCUAACUCUGCGCCAGCAGCCGCGGUAAUACAGAGGGUGCAAGCGUUAAUCGGAAUUACUGGGCGUAAAGCGCGCGUAGGUGGUUUGUUAAGUUGGAUGUGAAAGCCCCGGGCUCAACCUGGGAACUGCAUCCAAAACUGGCAAGCUAGAGUAUGGUAGAGGGUGGUGGAAUUUCCUGUGUAGCGGUGAAAUGCGUAGAUAUAGGAAGG
rnacentral:rRNA from 1 species